rnacentral:lncRNA from 1 species
CGUUCCCAGCCGGGGGCUCGCUUCCCGGUCACCCUCUGGGUUUGUGGGACGCGCCGCUCUCUCCUGGUUCUCCUCCUCCCUCUCUGACCACUGGUGUCCCCCUUGCUGGACCUUCCUCCAGAUCGCCCCUGUCGGGCCCUUUUCUCUGCGGACCGCUUCACCCGGAGAUCGCAUCAACUCCCGCGGACUUAAUUACCCUCCAUGUUGAGGAUUUCUCUUUUUCUGCCUUUCCUCCCUCUGCUGACCUUGAACUUUGCUUCCCCGAGCGCCUCUCGGGCAUUUCCUGCUGGGUGGCCAGUGGUUCGCUUAGACGCGUCCAAAACUGAAGUCCUAUCCUCCCCCUCAGCCUCCCUCACCUUCCCGUCCCUAUGACUGAAGAGACCAUCAUCCUCGGCCCCCAACCUCCCUCGCCUCCUGAGCCAUUGAAGAGUCCGCCCUUUGGUUCUUGGAAGCCAUCUAGUCCACGCCACACCUAGAGCAGAAUCCCUGGCCCAAACCUAACUCUGCUGGAGGCCCUGUGGUGCUGGGAGCCCAGGACUCCCCAAGUAGCCUCUUCCACUUGGGGAACUUCUGAUGGGGAAGAUGGAGGUCAGUGGAAUUGACGUUGGCUUCUAAUUGGCGGAUGGAUGAAUGAAUAAAACAAUUCAUUAGGUUCUUGACCAUGUACCUCAAGCGCUGUGCUUAGCUCUGGAAAUAGAGAUAUAAAGACAAAAGCUUUCCUUACUCUCAGGGAGCUUGGUCUCUGAUGGGGGCGACAUCACGUAGAGGGGUGGACCCUCUGGGAGGACAUUGGGUUUGGGAACUUGUAGAAAUGGUGAGUGGAACUAUAGGAGGCGGCCUUUCCGAUAGGAAUGGCCGGCGUGGGUUUGAGUAGAAUUAGAAAGGGGAGAGAAAAAAGGGGGGGAGGGCACAGCCACGUCCCAGGGUAAGAAGCUAGCUAAUACGUAAAGUGAGGCUGAACUACGAGAGGUGGUGUUCAAGAAGCACAGUGGCGGCUAUCAGGGCCAGGAAGGGUUAAGUCCCACAGGAUGUGGCCUCUAGUCCAGGCAGCGAAGAGACGGGGCGCUCCAGCCGUUCUUAAGCUUUUGCUCUUAAACUUUUAACACUCUUAAAAAAUUAUUGAAGAUUCUCUAAAGGGCUUUUGUUUACAUUGGUGAUCUCUCUCAAUAUCUGCUGUAUUAAAGAAUUGAACUGACA